rnacentral:sRNA from 1 species
AAAAUGUCGGUUAUACUAUUAACCGAAUUUUUUUUAAAUGUCGAAUGAGGUCGUAUCUGAAUUCUUGUUGAAACAAUGUGUCCCCCUAAAAUAUAUUGAAAUACUCUAAAAUACUCAAAGUCUUGUCGUGGAUCAACUUAUUAGAAGUGAGCCAUUUGAAUCAAUUUUGUUUUGAACGUAAUUCUUCAACGAAAAAAAACCAUACAAAUGAAUUGCCAAAUUGAACUUUAUUUGUACACAUUAAUAACGUAUUGUCAAACAGACGUAUGUAGUGAGCAAGUAAUGGACAGCCCUUAAUGAGCCAUUACAAGAACAGUUUUGUAAUGAGUACAUGUACAUGGACAGCUUGUUUAAUAAUUACAUUAACAGCAUGGGAAAUAAUUAAACGUACAGCUUGUGAAUUGCUUACUUGAAUUGAUUACAAAAAUAUUGUGUGUAACAAGUACAUUAAAAGCUUGUGUAAUAAGUACAUGCACGUUUUUGUGAUGUGAGCUUGUGUAAUAAGUACAUGCAAGUUUUUGUGAUGUGAGCUUGUGUAAUAAGCGUAUGACCAGCUUGUAUUUGGAGCAUUUAACAUUAUACAAGAAUACAACUGUUGAAACUAUCGCAGAAAUUAUUUUUUAACCUUUAAAUUACAGUGUUAAUAGUACAAUCAUUUCGUCCCUUCAUAUGAUAUCUAGUAGUUGGUGAACAUUUUCAAGACUAAAUGUAGAUUCAAUAGAAGUUCAUGCACAUUAAAUUAGAACAACAGUAUCUUUGAAAAGUCAAUCUACUUUUCUUAGUCUAUCUAUUAGCUAGUCCUCCCACGCACAGUGACCUGUUUAAUUUCCGACUGAAUGAUGCGUUCAACUGUGAAAUGAAGUUAAACCCAGUUUCAAACAUUUGAAACUAAUCUUUUUCAAAGGUCAUGGAAUCAAUGGAUAGUUUCACUAGGUUUGUCAAAGAUUAAUAAACAAACAAAAAUAGUAAUUGAAAAGACUUAAUUUCCUUCCAUGUGGUUCGUUUUAUUAUUCGGGAAAUAUAGGAAGUCGGAAAAUCCCAAGAAUUUUCCAAAGUAUUAAUACUUCUGGCAAAAAACCGUUAGGUUCAAAUCAGCUAUAAAAUAGGAAAGAAUUUAAAUCUUUGACCAUUUUGUCAAUCUAUAUUUCUGAAUUAAUAUCAAACAUGGUAAUUGUGUAUAUUUUUUUAUACAUUUAAAAAAAAUUAUCGUAAUACUAAACAGAGGGCAGCGGGUAUUGAAACACAGCACGUGACGACAUUACAAGUUCCAGUUGAACUAUUAUCAAAGUUCCCCAUCAACAUGUUCCCAGUUUUCUUGAUGACGAACUAAUGAGUAGUAGGAACAUCUGAAAUAUGAGACAAUAUUUAGGAAUAGAAUCUUAAAGACACGUGGAAAGUGAGAAAAGCGACAUACAUUUGGAAGAAACCAUCAAACAGAAAGACAGGCUGCUGGAAAUGCUAGAUAGAGCUGCUUACAAACACGUCUUUUCAAUAGGUGUGAAUGUGACACUGUGCAUCUCUGGGGACACAGAGAAUCAAUUCACAUGAAAAGGGAGCUCACCAAAUAUCAAUUUCCUUGUGUGUCUGUUUGGUUUUCAUGCAAGUCCGAAAGUGAGAAGAAACACGCGACAACUCCAACAUUGCUUCACAAUGCAGAGAAGAACGGAUAGAAGAAGUGCACACCGAAGCAUAGAAGCAAACGUCAAACAGUCACGUGGUCUGUGACACUACAAAACGACGCAGAAGUUUUGGUUGACCUGACUGGGUGUAGCUACAAAAAGAUGUCAUAAACCUGGACAGAUUCAGGCAAGUUCAAGACCAAACUCCAGCUAAGAAUAAAUGGCGCGAAACAAUUUCACAAGAUGAAUCUAAAAAUUUAACUCGGUGUUAUGGAGUGUUUCUAUGGUGACACUUUGAAGAUGUUAGCGAUUGUUCGUGAAUGAUGCAGGAGAGGUGGCAUUGUCGUUAGCGGGCUUAGUGAGCACAGACGACUCCAUAAGUUUAGUUCCCCAGAAACUCCUACGGCACUUUGACUUUUUACUUUUUCGGAACGGACAACAGCAAAUGUGCACUGCGGGAAUCAUCUAAUGCCCCAAUGCUGGUUGAUACUAAUGACCUACAUGUGUAGAGAAACCAAGUGACGUAUGACCUUGUAAGUGACCUUGCACCUCUGUUGGAAAUUCAUUCAAAGCUUUAACACAGGAGGCAGGGUUAACGAGAGACGGACAGGCAAAAGCCACGCCUACCUUUAAUUGACAGAAUGUAUCUGGGCGAU